ACCCCUCUAUCAAAAAGUUCGCCCUGCUUUGAGUCACGUGGUUUAAGAAAAUGGCUUCUUGAAACGAAUUUUGUCAAAUGUGUUGCUAAAAGUAGAAAUUAUAGCUACCUAAAACUGAAUGCGAGUGUUAAUAUUGGACUGAAGGCACCAAAGUCUACCGAACAACAUGCCUCCUCGGAAAAAGCGAGAGAACAGAGGCACCGAUGAUUGUCCCAGGAAACGACGACGAGCUCAGGAAGAGGGCAAUGUCGUCAUCUCAGAUAGAGACGAGGAUGAAGACUUCAGACCGACAUCAUCAUCAUCAAGAGGGGAGCGCAAACGGGAGAAGGAGAGUAGAACACGAACAAACGAGAUGACAGAGGAGGAGAUGCUGGACCUGGCCAUGAGACUGAGUAAACAGGAGGCCAGCAGCGCUGCUCUCCGGCAACGACAGGAGGAAGAGGCCGUGAGGAAGGCCAUUGCUGAAAGCCUCUAUGCAGACAGCCCUACUCAUCCCCACUCAGAAUCUUCGCUCGGGUCAGGGAGCCCUACACAACAAUGUCAAAAUUCUCCUCCAGAGGGAGAGAGCAGCAUACAGCCCCCCAGGUGUAAACUCUCCUACCCUAACCAUGGUGUGGCUGACAGGGAGGGAGUCCGCGGUGGAGGUGUUCAUGUAGGGGUGGCUCCCUCAGACAGGAGGAGGAGGGGGAAGAAGGAGGGAAGCCCAUUACUAGAUAUGCCUGACCUGUCUCAGACCCAGAAGGUCUACUCCCAGUCCUCCCCCCUCAGCCAAGCUUCCACCUCAGUGCCUCUCCCAUCCUCACAGGAAGAGGGGUCUUCUCAGAGGAACCUUUUCGGAGACCGCUCAGCCAAGGCAAUUGAAUCUCAGGACUACAACAACUCCACAAAGAGUGACUCCCAGUCCCAACUCAGGAUCAAGUCCCCUGGUUUCCCUUCCACUACGGCUCCCCAAGCCAACAAACCUGUCCUGUGCCUGGAGAAGCUUAGCCAGGACCUCCUAGUAGACUGUCAGGCCUCUGGGUUCCUACUAAAGGGUCAUCCCAGCUUAACGCUUCCCACAAAGUCCCAGAAAUCUCAAUCUUAUCAGCCCAAGAGCCCCACAUUCUCCAAUACCCCUGUGUUUUCCAAAACAGAGAGAGGUGUGGAACCAGGCCAAAGUAGUCCCUCCUUUCCUAAACGCGCCAUGUUCUCGAAUUGUGAUUCAGGAGAGGAAGAAAAAGAGGCCAGUCCCACCAUUCCUAAAAACCUGGUCUUUUUCAAGACUGAUAGAGGAAAGGCAGAGGAACAAGGGAGUCCAACUUCUCCUAAAAGCACCAUGUUCUCUAAGACUGAAAGAGGACUAGAAGAGAAAGAGACCUUCUCUGGAAGUCCAGUCUUUCCCAGAACUGAUCAGAUAAGGGACCAGGGUCCACAGAGCUGUGUUGAAAGUGUCUCUGCAACAGGAGACUAUGAGGAUGGAGACAGAGAUGAUGCUGUGAAGAGCAGGGAUGCCUCCGAGUGCCUUCCACCAUGCCCCAGAACAACCCUGUCCCUGAACAAGAGAUUUGUGCCUAUAAGGAAGACUGCUGGAGUUUCAGACAAAGUUGUUGACCAAGAGGAACGCGAGGGUGAAUCCUCGCAGAGAACUGUAAACAGGAUUAGCAUGCCUGCAAAGUUGGCUGCAGAAGAAGACCUUAAUUCAGAGGAACUUACAUUGGCUUUGGAGACUCAGCCAAUGCAGGAGUUAACCAGUAAUAUGGCGCUACGCUGGUCAGAUGAUGACGAAGAGGAAAAUGGUCCUGAAAAGUCAGCUCACUCGCCCAGCCCAGUCUUCCCACAGGAGAAUGACCUCCCUCAGCCAAGCAACCAGGGUCUCUCCCCAAACACCCACAACCACCGUUCCCCCCAACACAGACACAGCCCCUGCCUCGUCCCCAAGAAACGCACUCACAACUUCGAAGGCGCCGCGUGCGAGGAGGGGGAGAGCCAGUCCAAGUGCAUCCGGAAGAAGUUCACCUUCAAGGGCAUGUAUGGAGCCCCCUCUCCCUCUCUUCUCAGACAGGCUGCAGGUAGGAGCCAGGAUGAGGCCAAAGGCGGAAGCACCUCUUCCCACCAGCCCCUGGCCUCCUCCAGCCGCCUCUCUCCCUCCACAGACGGCCAGGGUUAUGGGGGAGUGGUGCGCUACUAUUGGGGUGUGCCAUUCUGUCCACGGGGGCAGAACCCAGACGCCUACACACAGGUGAUCCUGUCCCAGCUGGAGGUGUAUGAGAAGAGCCUGAAGGAGACCCAGAGGGGUCUGCUGAGGAAGGCAGGCUGGGGGGAGCCAGUCCUCCCUGGGCCCCCAGAGAAACCCUUCUCCAGGAGGGGACGCCUCGAGAGACACAGGGCCCCACGACUCCUGGAAGAAGAGGAGAGAGGGGGAAAACGUCAGGAAGAGCUAGUGGAGGUGGUAGAAGAUGAUGAUGAUGAUGAAGAGAAGAGGGCGAGACAGCUGUCACGGUGGGGGGUGGAAGGGGGAGGGAAGAGAGGAAGGCAGGAGUGGAAGGACUGCCAGGAUCUGUUUGUGUCCUCUCCUGAACAAGAGGAAAAAUCUCCCUCCCCUGUAUUUCAUGCAGAUACCAGUCAGCUAAUUCUACUUCAACGGAGACUUGGCCUUAGAAGAACAGAGGAAAGACUAGCAGAAAAACAACCACCUGACUUACUGGAGGAGAGGGAGGAAGAUGAGAAGGAAGAAAAGAUGGAUGAUAAAGAGGGUGGAGAGAAGAGGGAGGAGGAAGAAGUGGAUGUCAGAGGCUUACAAGUUCCAGAGACCCAACUCGGUGACGACAGCACUCAAGACCUCAUGGUCACCAGCCCUGCACAGCCCCAGCCAAAGAGCCAGUCCCUGCCUCAGAUCCAGACCUUUUUUUCAUCACCCCGCCCUCUGGAACAGCGUGAAGAGGGGAUGUUGGUGGUUGGAGAGGAGGAGGGGCGGAGGAGUAGCCCUGUGGGGAUCCCUGCUGUAGGAGAGGAUGUUCGGAUGGAGGAGGAUAUCCCAGAGCCUGCCUUCCCUCGGAGCCCCAACAUGGACUGUCCCAUGUGCAUGCGUCUCUUCCCCCUGACGGAGAUUGAGAUGCACGCUGCCUACUGUGACGGUACCACCGCUAUCAUGGAGGAGGAAAUGGCAGAGGAGAGCCAAUCGCAGGUUUCAGUCAAGGCUCGUAGGAAGAGGACCAGAAGGGGUGAGAACAUUGGAGAGGAGCAGCCCAGCUCUUCUGGCUCUGGCAAGGUGGUACAGGGAGAGAAGUGCUUCCUGUGUCAGCAACUAUUUCCUCUCAAGUACCAUGAGAAGCAUGUAGAGGACUGCAUCAAGAAUAAAGAGUUCUCCAAGGCUGCACCCAGAGACGGACAGAGUGGAGACUUUCUGAGUGCUCUGGACCAGACAGAGCAUAUAUAUUCAGGGACUGCUGAGGCCAAACCAUGUGAUACUACCGUCAAUAACCAAAAAAGUGGCCUGAUUGAUGAUCUGGACACAGCAGAAUCUGGGGGAAGAGGAGACUUCAGCGCCCCAGGUUUCAGAAGUGUCUGCAGCCUUUCCGUCGCUCUGUGGAGAAGCUGCGGGAGGUGUCGUCUCGCCUCAGGAAGGACCUGAUCAUAAGGCGGGACAAACACACAAACCGCCAAGCGGCAGUCAAGAUGCUGCCCACUUUUGUGAGGUCUACACCUGAUGGCACAGGAAAAUGCCACGGGCACUAUCUGAUGUGUGGAGACAUUUCACUGCAGUGGUUUUACCACAUUGCAGCCUGCCUGGCUGAGUUCCUGGAGCUGAAGGAUCAGACGCUACCUCUGGGCCUUCUCCUUCGAGCAGAAAGACAUCGACAAGAGUAUCCUGAUCCGUUGGACCAAAGGCUUUCUUUAACUGUUCAGGAGUGGAUGUGGUCAGGCUACUGAGAGAAGCCAUCCACAGCAGAGAGGUGAGUCUGUAGGCCUCUUUUAUCAUCCAACUACCACCACUUUCUAAUAAACAAUUAUUUUGAUGGGAUAUGCAUUUGGAAUGUUAUUACUACAUUAGUAGAGCCUAUAAAAUAAGUUGUUAUACCAGUAUAUUUCUUUCUUUUCUUUCUUUUUUUUUAUUUUUAUGUCUUUCUCCCCCCCUUGAACUAUGACAUUGGUUCAGUUGCAAUGGUGAAUGACACUGUGGGUAUCAUGAUGAGUUGUGGAUACAGGGACCAGAGCUGUGAGAUUGACAUGAUCAUUGGUAGGUAGUACCUAUCUGUACUGCAGCCACACUACUGCAAAUAUAGCAAUAGAGGAAAGAACACAAAGGCAUAAGAUGCCCCAUUUAGCCUAGCAAGUGAAGGAGAGGGUGACUGUAGUAACCAUACAUUUCUAGCACUUCCACAAUGCAAUGGCUCCCUCUGCUGGAGAUGAUAGCGAAGGGGUUUUGUUUGCGUUUUUGUGUGUGCAUGCAAUAUGUUGCAUUCAUUUCUGUGUAAGAUUCUCUGCCUCCCCAGGGACGGGGACAAACGCAUGUUAUGUGGAUUAGAUAAAUAACGUGAAGAGAGUGGGCGGGGAGGAUGUAGGUAUUUGCAGGUAGCCUGGCAGGGAGGAGCAUUGGGUCGGUAACCGAAAGGUGACCGACAAGGGUUGGGGCGUGUUGUUGACGAUGGGACAUCCAAACUGAGUUUGACCUGAUGGUGGAUUGAGAUUUACUCAACCCAGGCGUGCAUGCGUAUGUGUUUCUACACCAAAUUAAUGAGCAGUCAAAAGUACAUAGCUGAAGUACAUAAAAAUACAUAACUUCUAUGUUUGACUCUCUUGACUUUCAUUUGCCGAAUCCAGGCCAAACCUCAUUCACCCUGGUCAAUUUAUCUGUGUACUUAACUCUUGUUGUUUUGUGACUUUGUCCAGGACAGCGUUGAGACCAGAUUCAUCUCUGGAGGUAGAGGAGUAAGUGACUGACACACCAUGCUCUUAUGUGUCAUCUCUAGUUACACAGAUCCUAAAUAUAGCAGUUAUUUAUUUUAAAUCAAUGUGCUACAUAAUACAGAAGCUACUACUGGGUAAGAUUGAGAGAAAUGAGCGCAACUGUCUUUACAACUAUAUAUUAUAAAAUUGACUAGAAAUGGAAGGGCUGGGAAUUGCCAGGGACAUCAUGAUACGAUAUUAUCACAAUACUUAGGUGCCAAUAUGAUGUAUUGCAAUUCCAUACUGGGAUUUUUUGGCAAUUUAACGUUCUAAACAUUGCUCACCAUAUGUCUGCUGCAAAGGGACAUGAGAAAAUGAGUUUUGAUCAGUCAUAGAAAUAUUGUUAGUGCUGAAAACAAAUGAGCUCCCUUAUUAAAAAGAAGGUUGAAGAACUGGUUAUGAAGGAAAAAUACUGGAAUUUUGGUGCAGGUACAGACAACUAGCGCAAAAUAUAUUGUGAUAAUGUUGAUACGAUAUAUCGUAAAAAUAUGUUCACCUCAGAUAGAAAUGUUAUGAAAUGGUCCACAGGGUUAUUUCAGUUUAAGUGGAAAGUUACAGAUAAAUCCUGCUUGUUACAUUCUUGUCACUUGAUUGAAUGGAGAAUAUCCUCUUGUGCUGCCAUAAUAACAAUGUGGAUUUCCUGCCUUUGUUUCCUCAGCAUAUUCACAAGUCACUGAAUCUCAGUAAUAUGUCGGUCUAACCACUAUCCUAAAGUUAAUUUACACCCCUCCCUCAACCUUAUCCCUGCCUUUCCACUCUGUUUGUCUAAAUGCAGGAAUUUCACAUGAUGGAAUAUUAUUUCAUAGAAUAGUUAUUUUCCAAUUGUCCAUGGAGAUUGUAUCUCUCAUUCACCCCUUUGCACUGUCAGGAGGACCAAUGUCAGUAUCAGGUGUGCAGGUAGCCAUAGUCAAAUCAAAGUAUCUCCCUGUCUCUCUCAACAUUGUUAUCCCCCUGUUUCUCUUCCCCCCAGCUUCAGUAAGCAGCUCCAGGAGACCGUAAGAAUCCUAAGUGUGACAUCACUUUCCUCGUCUCGGAGGAUGGCAGUGGAAAAGGGCACUGACAUGGUAAUGGCGGUGGCACAGAAGCUGGCCAUAUCGCCCCGACUGUUAGAGGACAGCAGAGGAGGAUGAGGAAGAUGGAAAUGAAUAUGUUAGGUCAGAGGAGGCAUACUGGAAAGACCACUUGAAAUGCAGCACCAUAAAAAUGCCCCCCUCAAAUGCUUUUGUUGUACGGUACAUGCUAAACAGCUCACUCACUUUCUCCUACUGUAUGGAAAUUAAUGAAUUCAUUGAGGUUAACUUUUUUACAGUAGGCUAUUUUUUGUUGUUGUACAUGGUUAACUUUCAGCGAGGAAAUGCCCUUUUUCUUAAACUUCUGUGUGAAAUAUGUAUUAUGUAUAACAAAUGUUACAUUAUUUUAUACUAGAAUGAAAACUUGUAAUGGGUAAACUCUCACUGUAUUGCUAGUAUAUUUAGAGACCAGAUAUUUGAUACUUGGACAUCACUGCAGCUAUAUUUGAAUGGCAGCUUGGUAAUACAAUUAGUCUUGAAGUAAAAAUCUAUGAAUUUCAUGGUCAAGCCAAGUUCCACAGAAUGGAAAGAGACACAUGCUCACGCCCCCUGUUGGAGAAACUGUACAAAGGAACAUCAGGUCAUUAAAUCAAUGUUUUCCGCAAAGUUAUACAACUUUAGAAUAUUCAGUCACUCUUAAACAACAGACACCUUUCUGAACACGUGUUAUGUUAAUCAAAACUUACUGCAAAUAAAGAUGGCUAGCAUUUGA